UUACCAGACUCCUACGGGAGGCAGCAGUGGGGAAUAUUGCACAAUGGGGGAAACCCUGAUGCAGCGACGCCGCGUGAGUGAAGAAGUAUUUCGGUAUGUAAAGCUCUAUCAGCAGGGAAGAAAAUGACGGUACCUGACCAAGAAGCCCCGGCUAACUACGUGCCAGCAGCCGCGGUAAUACGUAGGGGGCAAGCGUUAUCCGGAUUUACUGGGUGUAAAGGGAGCGUAGACGGCUGAGCAAGUCAGAAGUGAAAGCCCGGGGCUCAACCCCGGGACUGCUUUUGAAACUGCGGAGCUGGAGUGCAGGAGAGGUAAGCGGAAUUCCUGGUGUAGCGGUGAAAUGCGUAGAUAUCAGGAGGAACACCAGUGGCGAAGGCGGCUUACUGGACUGUAACUGACGUUGAGGCCCGAAAGCGUGGGGAGCAGACAGGAUUAGAUACCCCAGUA
rnacentral:rRNA from 1 species